GUGGGGAAUAUUGGACAAUGGGGGCUACCCUGAUCCAGCCAUGCCGCGUGAGUGAUGACGGCCUUCGGGUUGUAAAGCUCUUUUACAUGGGAAGAUAAUGACGGUACCAUGAGAAUAAGCACCGGCAAACUUCGUGCCAGCAGCCGCGGUAAUACGAAGGGUGCAAGCGUUGUUCGGAAUUACUGGGUGUAAAGGGCGUGUAGGCGGAUUAGUUAGUUAGUGGUGAAAUCCUUGGGCUCAACCUGAGAACUGCCAUUGAUACAGCUAGUCUGGAGUAUUAGAGAGGAUGACGGAAUAUCCAGUGUAGAGGUGAAAUUCGUAGAUAUUGGAUAGAACACCGGUGGCGAAGGCGGUCAUCUGGCUAAUUACUGACGCUGAGGCGCGAGAGCGUGGGGAGCAAACAGGAUUAGAAACCCCGGUAGUCC
rnacentral:rRNA from 1 species